AAGACUGUACUUCCAGGGAUCAUUUCUAUAGCUCGCUACUAGGGAAGUGCCUGUGCAGUAAGCUACAAUGUAUCUCCGCGCAGGGAGG
ensembl:snoRNA U3 Small nucleolar RNA U3